rnacentral:rRNA from 1 species
UAUAAGCUAUUAAGGGCUAAUGGUGGAUGCCUUGACUGUAAGAGGCGAUGAAGGACGUAUUAGGCUGCGAUAAGCCUCGGGGAGCUGCCAAAGAGCUUUGAUCCGAGGAUUUCCGAAUGGGGCAACCCAGCAUAUAGAGAUAUAUGUUACCCUACGGGGAGCGAACCUGGUGAAGUGAAACAUCUCAGUAGCCAGAGGAAGAGAAAUCAAAUGAGAUUCCCAUAGUAGCGGCGAGCGAACUGGGAUUAGGACAAACCCAAUGCUUGCAUUGGGGGUUGUAGGACUAUAAUGUGUAAUUAAAGAGAAUAGAUGAAUUAGUUGGAAAACUAGAGCAUAGAAGGUGAUACUCCUGUAAUUAAAAUUCUCAAUAAUACUAAUAGUAUCCUGAGUAGGUCGGAACACGUGAUAUUUUGACUGAAGCUGGGGGGACCACCCUCCAAUCCUAAAUACUACUUACAGAUCGAUAGUGAACAAGUACCGUGAGGGAAAGGUGAAAAGUACUGCAGCGAGCAGAGUGAAAUAGAACCUGAAACCAUUAGCUUACAAUCAUUCAGAGCCCUAUGAUUUAUCAGGGUGAUGGACUGCCUUUUGCAUAAUGAGCCUGCGAGUUGUGGUGUCUGGCAAGGUUAAGCCAAGUGCGAAGCCGUAGCGAAAGCGAGUCUUAAUAGGGCGACAUAGUCAGAUGCUGCAGACCCGAAACGAAGUGAUCUAUCCAUGAGCAGGUUGAAGCUGGUGUAAGAGCCAGUGGAGGACCGAACCCGCUGACGUUGAAAAGUCUUGGGAUGACUUGUGGAUAGGGGUGAAAGGCCAAUCAAACUUCGUGAUAGCUGGUUCUCUCCGAAAUAUAUUUAGGUAUAGCCUUGUGUUGUAGCAUAUAGGGGUAGAGCACUGAAUGGGCUAGGGCUGCUUACCGCGGUACCAAACCCUAUCAAACUAUGAAUACUAUAUGUGGAAUCACAGGAGUCAGGCGGUGGGUGAUAAAAUCCGUCGUCAAGAGGGGAACAACCCAGACUAACAGCUAAGGUCCCUAAGUUACAUCUAAGUGGAAAACGAUGUGGAGUUACUGUGACAACCAGGAGGUUGGCUUAGAAGCAGCCAUCCUUUAAAGAAAGCGUAACAGCUCACUGGUCUAGUGAUUCUGCGCGGAAAAUAUAACGGGGCUAAGAUGUACACCGAAGCUUUAGAUUCAAUUUUUAAUUGAGUGGUAGGAGAGCGUUCUAUUCAGCGUUGAAGGUAUACCGGUAAGGAGUGCUGGAGCGGAUAGAAGUGAGCAUGCAGGCAUGAGUAGCGAUAAUUAAGGUGAGAAUCCUUAACGCCGAAAACCCAAGGUUUCCUACGCGAUGCUCGUCAUCGUAGGGUUAGUCGGGUCCUAAGUCGAGACUGAAAAGUGUAGACGAUGGCAAAUUGGUUAAUAUUCCAAUACCAACAUAUAAGCGCGAUGUGGGGACGCAUAGAGUUAGUCGAGCUCACUGAUGGAAUAGUGGGUCGAAGGAUGUAGGUUGUUAAGUAGGCAAAUCCGCUUAACGUUAGACCGAGAUCUUACAGGCUCUUGACACUCUUCGGAGGAGAUGGAGAAUCGAUGAUACUGUCGUGCCAAGAAAAGCCACUAAGUUUAUUAUAUGUUGCCCGUACCGUAAACCGACACAGGUGGGUGGGAUGAGUAUUCUAAGGCGCGUGGAAGAACCCUCUUUAAGGAACUCUGCAAAAUAGCACCGUAUCUUCGGUAUAAGGUGUGCCUACUUUGGUAUAUGAACUUGCUUCAAAAAGCUAGAGAGGUUGCAACAAAGAGUCCCUCCCGACUGUUUACCAAAAACACAGCACUUUGCUAACACGUAAGUGGAUGUAUAAGGUGUGACGCCUGCCCGGUGCUCGAAGGUUAAUUGAUGAUGUCAGCGCAAGCGAAGCAUUUGAUCGAAGCCCGAGUAAACGGCGGCCGUAACUAUAACGGUCCUAAGGUAGCGAAAUUCCUUGUCAGUUAAAUACUGACCUGCAUGAAUGGCGUAACGAGAUGGGAGCUGUCUCAAAGAGGAUCCAGUGAAAUUGUAGUGGAGGUGAAAAUUCCUCCUACCCGCGGAAAGACGGAAAGACCCCGUGCACCUUUACUACAGCUUGACACUGUAGCUUGGAUAUUCAUGUGCAGGAUAGGUGGGAGGCUAUGAUGACUAGACGCAAGUAGAGUCGGAGCCAUCCUUGAGAUACCACCCUUGAAUAUUUGAGUUACUAACUGCGAUGAGUUAUCCUCAUUCAGGACAAUGUCUGGUGGGUAGUUUGACUGGGGCGGUCGCCUCCUAAAUAGUAACGGAGGCUUACAAAGGUUAGUUCAAAGCGGAUGGAAAUCGCUUGUUGAGUAUAAUGGCAUAAACUAGCUUGACUGUGAGACCUACAAGUCGAACAGAGACGAAAGUCGGUCAUAGUGAUCCGGUGGUUCUGCGUGGAAGGGCCAUCGCUCAAAGGAUAAAAGGUACGCCGGGGAUAACAGGCUGAUCUCCCCCAAGAGCUCACAUCGACGGGGAGGUUUGGCACCUCGAUGUCGGCUCAUCGCAUCCUGGGGCUGUAGUCGGUCCCAAGGGUAUGGCUGUUCGCCAUUUAAAGCGGUACGCGAGCUGGGUUCAGAACGUCGUGAGACAGUUCGGUCCCUAUCUUCCGUGGGCGUAGGAAAGUUGAAGAGAUUUGUCCCUAGUACGAGAGGACCGGGAUGAACCAACCACUGGUGUACCAAUUGUUCUGCCAAGAGCAUCGUUGGGUAGCCACGUUGGGAUGUGAUAAGAGCUGAAAGCAUCUAAGCUCGAAGCCAACUCUAAGAUGAACUUUCCCUGAAGUUCCCAGCAAGACUAGCUGGUUGAUAGGCUGGGUGUGUAAUGGGUGUAAGCCCUUUAGCUGACCAGUACUAAUAGAACGUUUGGCUUAUUUUUAACAAUUUUCUUUGGUUUACU